rnacentral:rRNA from 1 species
AUUGAACGCUGGCGGCAUGCCUUACACAUGCAAGUCGAACGGCAGCGCGGGGCAACCUGGCGGCGAGUGGCGAACGGGUGAGUAAUAUAUCGGAACGUACCCUGGAGUGGGGGAUAACGUAGCGAAAGUUACNNUAAUACCGCAUACGAUCUAAGGAUGAAAGUGGGGGAUCGCAAGACCUCAUGCUCCUGGAGCGGCCGAUAUCUGAUUAGCUAGUUGGUAGGGUAAAAGCCUACCAAGGCAUCGAUCAGUAGCUGGUCUGAGAGGACGACCAGCCACACUGGAACUGAGACACGGUCCAGACUCCUACGGGAGGCAGCAGUGGGGAAUUUUGGACAAUGGGCGCAAGCCUGAUCCAGCAAUGCCGCGUGAGUNAAGAAGGCCUUCGGGUUGUAAAGCUCUUUUGUCAGGGAAGAAACGGGUUUUUCUAAUACAGAGAUCUAAUGACGGUACCUGAAGAAUAAGCACCGGCUAACUACGUGCCAGCAGCCGCGGUAAUACGUAGGGUGCAAGCGUUAAUCGGAAUUACUGGGCGUAAAGCGUGCGCAGGCGGUUUUGUAAGACUGUCGUGAAAUCCCCGGGCUCAACCUGGGAAUGGCGAUGGUGACUGCAAGGCUAGAGUUUGGCAGAGGGGGGUAGAAUUCCACGUGUAGCAGUGAAAUGCGUAGAUAUGUGGAGGAACACCGAUGGCGAAGGCAGCCCCCUGGGUCAAAACUGACGCUCAUGCACGAAAGCGUGGGGAGCAAACAGGAUUAGAUACCCUGGUAGUCCACGCCCUAAACGAUGUCUACUAGUUGUCGGGUUUUAAUUAACUUGGUAACGCAGCUAACGCGUGAAGUAGACCGCCUGGNNUACGGUCGCAAGAUUAAAACUCAAAGGAAUUGACGGGGACCCGCACAAGCGGUGGAUGAUGUGGAUUAAUUCGAUGCAACGCGAAAAACCUUACCUACCCUUGACAU